rnacentral:rRNA from 1 species
GCAGGGAAACAGGACUGUUACUUCUGAAAAAAUUAGAGUCGUUUAAAGCAGGCUAACGCUUGAAUACAUUAGCAUGGAAUAAUGAAAUAGGACGUCUUGAUCCUAUUUUGUCGGUUUCUAGGAUUGACGUAAUGAUUAAUAGGGAUAGUUGGGGGCAUUAGUAUUCAAUUGUCAGGGGUGAAAUUCUUGGAUUUAUUGAAGACUAACUACUGCGAAAGCAUUUGCCAAGGAUGUUUUCAUUAAUCAAGAACGAAAGUUAGGGGAUCGAAAACGAUCAGAUACCGUCGUAGUCUUAACCAUAAACUAUGCCGACUAGGGAUCGGAUGAUGUUAAUUUUUUAAUGACUCAUUCGGCGCCUUACG